UAGAACUUGAAUGAAGGGCAGAUCUU
rnacentral:piRNA from 1 species